rnacentral:rRNA from 1 species
UUUAUUGGCUCGCUGCCCUUUAGCCCAGGAGGCACGCCGCCAGCGAGUUGCAGACUGCGAUCCGAACAGUUUUGAGAACAGCUUAACCUUUCGCUGCCUUAGAGUGCCCAACUGAAUGCUGGACGCCUCCCCCGACUUGCAUGUAUUAGGCACGGUCGACAGGGAGCAAGCUCCCAUCUUGCAUGUAUUCGGUUUAUUGGCUCGCUGCCCUUUAGCCCAGGAGGCACGCCGCCAGCGAGUUGCAGACUGCGAUCCGAACAGUUUUGAGAACAGCUUAACCUUUCGCUGCCUUAGAGUGCCCAACUGAAUGCUGGACGCCAUUUAACACCCGGAGUUGCAGACUGCGAUCCGAACUGAGAACAGAGUGGUCAUAAGGGGUGAUGAUUUGACGUCAUCUCCUGUUCUGUCAAUUACACGUGUGUUAACCUGCCCCGACUUGCAAGUAUUAAGCACGGUCGACAGGGAGCAAGCUCCCAUCUUGCAUGUAUUCGGUUUAUUGGCUCGCUGCCCUUGAGCCCAGGAGGCACGCCGCCAGCGAGUUGCAGACUGCGAUCCGAACAGUUUUGAGAACAGCUUAACCUUUCGCUGCCUUAGAGUGCCCAACUGAAUGCUGGACGCCAUUUAACACCCGGAGUUGCAGCUGCGAUCCGAACUGAGAACAGAGUGGUCAUAAGGGGCAUG